UUCUAGGUGCCACAGGAGCACACAGAAGAGGCUUCUAACCCAAUCUUGGAGGCUCAGGGAAGGUUUCAAGAGCAGAAAAGAAGGUUCCAGGAAGAAAAAAAAGAAAAAACCUGGAGUAUCUUCCCUGUUGAAUCCACCUAAUAUUUAUAUUUUUUUGUGGAAAUUUCCUUUUCAUUUGGCAUUAUGUCAUCGACCAUUUCAAGGGUGUUCACUUCUUGAGCACAUUUCAAUCGAUAUAUAUUUUUCAAACUGAUGAUUGAACCGCUUCAUCAUUUUCCUGGAGGGCUCACCAUGUCCUAGGCGCUCAAGAAACCUACGAGAAAACAAUACACACAGUUCUGGAGGGAAAGUUAAAACCGGUGUGGAAAAAAAGGGACAUCCGGCAAGUCCCCCAGUCUGUACUUUUGCCUCGAGGUGGGAGUGAGAGAAAAAAGCCCCCAGAAGAGGCUGUGAGGAAACCUGGAAAGAGCAAACCCAUAACGCUUUCUUCCCAGGCAAAGCAGUCGGUAAACAAAGAUCUUAACUUCCUAAUUCGGGCUAGUUUUUUUUUUUUUUUUUUUUAAUUUGCUUCCAAGACUUUGAUGGAGCGACUUGAGGAAAAGGAAACGGUCACAAUUACUAGAAAGAACUUAAAAAAACACUGGAGAUGAAGCAGUGGAGUACUUCUGGAACAAAUGUUUCCUUAUAAGACCAGCGAUAGGGGCGGGGUGUCUGUGUAAUGUCUACUCAACGCAGCAGAAGGAUCAGAGGAAAUCUUCGCCGAUUUCGAUUUCCAAAAUUCUUAACGGGGAACCAUCUGGAACCUGCUGCACAACAAAUCCCACGUUCACCGAAGCCUCGAGGAUUUCCUCGUGGGUCCGGGAGUUUCAUCUGACAAAUACCAGUGUCUCUGGGACUCCCCGGGCACAAGGGAUGGGUCAAGGCCUCUCACCCUUUCGUCCCUCCCUCCGGUGCACGCUUUCACAGCCACAGUUCCCCACGGCAAGAGCCACGUACACAGGCACCGCCAGCUGCCAACAGGGCGUGAUCGCUUCCCAGACUGCAAUCUCCCCAGCAGGGCAUUCCCACGCGGCCAGGCGAGUCUGUGAAAACUCCGCAGGGCCUCGAGGCCCCCUGCGGCUUUCCUCAAAGGACCCCGAGAAGAGCCCUGAUGUUUAGAGCAGUCUAGGUUUCCCAGGUCGUAGGCGCGGGCUGGGCGCGCCCGGUGCGAGCCUGGCUGGCGUGCACUUGGCAGCCUCCCAGCUGGCGGAGCUGGACCAGGGGGGCAUUGGGGGGGCCGAGAUAAAGGCCCGCGCCUCCGCACUACUGGUCUCCUCUCUCCUGGACUCCCCGGCCUCCCCCAUCACUUCCCUCUUCUCCUCCCCCCGCCUUCCCCUUCCCGGUCCUCCUCUUCUCCCCUCCGCUACCCCGCCCGGGGUCCGGGAGGCGGCGCCUGCUGAGUCACCGUCACGUGGCCUCGGGUGCGCAGGGGCGGGCUGCGCCUCGGCGGCACUGGCGCUCGGAGCCCUAGUGGAAAAUUUUCGGAGACCUACUGGGGCUGCGCGCCCGAGGCCCCGCCUCUCUCCCCUCUGCCCCACCCCCACCCCCACCCCCUUCCCGGUCCCCGGCCUUCCGGCCGCAGCCCGGCGCCCCCCCCCCCCCCCGCCCCGCGGAGGUUCCUUUCUCCCCGGGAGCGGCUCUGCGCACGUCCCGCCCGCCGCCGCCCCCUAGGCUGGCGCCGCCUGCGCCGCUGGCCCUCCGGCCGGCAGCCCGCACUUCCUUAGCGACCCUCCUUAGAGCUCCGAGCCGCCGUGCGGUCUUGCCCCCGACCUUGUGUAUACCCGGCUGGCAUCCUGAGAGGCGAGGAGCGGCGUCCUGGCGCCUUCGCCUUCGCCUCUGGGGCGCCGCAGCCCCCUCGGCCCCGCCACCUCCGAUCCGCGUGACACGGGUCCCCCCCAUACCUCUUGCGGGGGGGGGGGGUGGAAGACAAAGGAAGGAGAUGGUUCCAGUGGGCGUCUUGCCUGCUACUCAUUUAACGCCCUGCGUUGCCUCGUCGUUCGAACAUAGCGUGUACUCGGCCCUAUUGUAAAUAGUUUACUUACCCCCGCUUACCACCAGGAAAAUAAACAAGUUGUUUUCCCUA